rnacentral:rRNA from 1 species
CACGUAGGUGGCACUGUAAGUCAGAGGUGAAAGCCCUCGGCUCAACCGAGGAAUUGCCUCUGAAACUGCUGUGCUUGAGUCCGGGAGGGGGGAGCGGAAUUCCCAGUGUAGCGGUGAAAUGCGUAGAUACUGGGAGGAACACCGGUGGCGAAGGCGGCUCCCUGGACCGGUACUGACACUGAGGUGCGAAAGCGUGGGUAGCAAACA